rnacentral:rRNA from 1 species
GGGCCCGCACAAGCAGCGGAGCAUGUGGUUUAAUUCGAAGCAACGCGAAGAACCUUACCUAGACUUGACAUCUCCUGAAUAGCGUAGAGAUACGUGAAGCCCUUCGGGGCAGGAAGACAGGUGGUGCAUGGUUGUCGUCAGCUCGUGUCGUGAGAUGUUGGGUUAAGUCCCGCAACGAGCGCAACCCUUAUCAUUAGUUGCUACCAUUAAGUUGAGCACUCUAGUGAGACUGCCCGGGUUAACCGGGAGGAAGGCGGGGAUGACGUCAAAUCAUCAUGCCCCUUAUGUCUAGGGCUACACACGUGCUACAAUGGUGAGAACAACGAGAUGCAAUACCGCGAGGUGGAGCCAAACUUGAAAACUCAUCCCAGUUCGGAUUGUAGGCUGAAAUUCGCCUACAUGAAGUUGGAGUUGCUAGUAAUCGCGAAUCAGAAUGUCGCGGUGAAUACGUUCCCGGGCCUUGUACACACCGCCCGUCACACCAUGAGAGCUGGUAACACCCGAAGUCCGUGAGGUAACCUUUAUGGAGCCCAGCGGCCGAAGGUGGGAUUAGUGAUUGGGGUGAAUUCGUAACAAGGUAGCCGUAGGAGAACCUGCGGGCUGGAUCAC